rnacentral:rRNA from 1 species
GACGAACGCUGGCGGCGUGCUUAACACAUGCAAGUCGAACGGAAAGGCCCUGCUUGCAGGGUACUCGAGUGGCGAACGGGUGAGUAACACGUGGGUGAUCUGCCCUGCACUUCGGGAUAAGCCUGGGAAACUGGGUCUAAUACCGGAUAGGAGCCAUUUUUAGUGUGAUGGUUGGAAAGUUUUUUCGGUGUAGGAUGAGCUCGCGGCCUAUCAGCUUGUUGGUGGGGUAAUGGCCUACCAAGGCGGCGACGGGUAGCCGGCCUGAGAGGGUGGACGGCCACAUUGGGACUGAGAUACGGCCCAGACACCGACGGGAGGCAGCAGUGGGGAAGAUUGCACAAGGGGCGCAAGCCUGAUGCAGCGACGCCGCGUGGGGGAUGACGGCCUUCGGGUUGUAAACUCCUUUCGCUAGGGACGAAGCUUUUUGUGACGGUACCUAGAGAAGAAGCACCGGCUAACUACGUG